rnacentral:tRNA from 1 species
UUAAUUAAAACCAAAUAGAGGUAAGUCACUGUUAAUGACUCAAUUGAGUUCUCUCUAAUUAAA